UCAGCUGCCCGGUGAAGUGUAU
rnacentral:miRNA from 1 species